rnacentral:rRNA from 1 species
GACGAACGCUGGCGGCGUGCUUAACACAUGCAAGUCGAGCGGUAAGGCCUUUCGGGGUACACGAGCGGCGAACGGGUGAGUAACACGUGGGUGAUCUGCCCUGCACUUCGGGAUAAGCCUGGGAAACUGUGUCUAAUACCGGAUAUGACCUCCUAUCGCAUGGUGGGUGGUGGAAAGAUUUAUCGGUGCAGGAUGGGCCCGCGGCCUAUCAGCUUGUUGGUGGGGUAAUGGCCUACCAAGGCGACGACGGGUAGCCGACCUGAGAGGGUGACCGGCCACACUGGGACUGAGACACGGCCCAGACUCCUACGGGAGGCAGCAGUGGGGAAUAGUGCACAAUGGGCGAAAGCCUGAUGCAGCGACGCCGCGUGAGGGAUGACGGCCUUCGGGUUGUAAACCUCUUUCAGCAGGGACGAAGCGCAAGUGACGGUACCUGCAGAAGAAGCACCGGCUAACUACGUG